rnacentral:rRNA from 1 species
AGUGAACGCUGGCGGUAGGCCUAACACAUGCAAGUCGAACGGCAGCACAGUAAGAGCUUGCUCUUACGGGUGGCGAGUGGCGGACGGGUGAGGAAUACAUCGGAAUCUACUUUUUCGUGGGGGAUAACGUAGGGAAACUUACGCUAAUACCGCAUACGACCUACGGGUGAAAGCAGGGGAUCUUCGGACCUUGCGCGAUUGAAUGAGCCGAUGUCGGAUUAGCUAGUUGGCGGGGUAAAGGCCCACCAAGGCGACGGUCCGUAGCUGGUCUGAGAGGAUGAUCAGCCACACUGGAACUGAGACACGGUCCAGACUCCUACGGGAGGCAGCAGUGGGGAAUAUUGGACAAUGGGCGCAAGCCUGAUCCAGCCAUACCGCGUGGGUGAAGAAGGCCUUCGGGUUGUAAAGCCCUUUUGCUGGGAAAGAAAAGCAGCAGGUUAAUACCCCGCUGUUCUGACGGUACCCAAAGAAUAAGCACCGGCUAACUUCGUG